GAACGGGUGAGUAACACGUGGGUGAUCUGCCCUGGACUCUGGGAUAAGCCUGGGAAACUGGGUCUAAUACCGGAUAUGACCUUACAUCGCAUGGUGUUUGGUGGAAAGCUUUUGCGGUUCAGGAUGGGCCCGCGGCCUAUCAGCUUGUUGGUGGGGUAAUGGCCUACCAAGGCGACGACGGGUAGCCGACCUGAGAGGGUGAUCGGCCACACUGGGACUGAGACACGGCCCAGACUCCUACGGGAGGCAGCAGUGGGGAAUAUUGCACAAUGGGCGCAAGCCUGAUGCAGCGACGCCGCGUGAGGGAUGACGGCCUUCGGGUUGUAAACCUCUUUCACCAGGGACGAAGCGCAAGUGACGGUACCUGGAGAAGAAGCACCGGCCAACUACGUGCCAGCAGCCGCGGUAAUACGUAGGGUGCGAGCGUUGUCCGGAAUUACUGGGCGUAAAGAGCUCGUAGGCGGUUUGUCGCGUCGUCUGUGAAAUUCUGCAACUCAAUUGUAGGCGUGCAGGCGAUACGGGCAGACUUGAGUACUACAGGGGAGACUGGAAUUCCUGGUGUAGCGGUGAAAUGCGCAGAUAUCAGGAGGAACACCGGUGGCGAAGGCGGGUCUCUGGGUAGUAACUGACGCUGAGGAGCGAAAGCGUGGGUAGCGAACAGGAUUAGAUACCCUGGUAGUCC
rnacentral:rRNA from 1 species